rnacentral:lncRNA from 1 species
UUGAUGGCUAAAUGCUAUGGAAUUGAAUGGUACAUGUACUGAGUGGAUCCGCCAAUAGUUCCACUAAGGACCGGAAAAGCCGAGAGCUUGGAGACGUGGAUGAGGCCGAUAACUAGUAAUGUAUCAGGAAAGACCUGGUAUGAGGUCUUUGAUGAAAUAUUGAUUCGUUGUACUACUCUGACAUUUGUUGUUGAGCCAUUAUUGAUUCGUUGAGCAUAUUC